AGAGUUUGAUCAUGGCUCAGGAUGAACGCUGGCUGUGUGCCUAAUACAUGCAUGUCGAGCGAAGCACUUCGGUGCUUAGCGGCGAAUGGGUGAGUAACACGUACUUAACCUACCCCCAAGAUUGGGACAACACCUGGAAACGGGUGCUAAUACCAAAUACGUAUUUUUAUCGCAUGAUAGAAAUAUAAAAGGAGCUUCGGCUUCACUAGGGGAUGGAAGUGCGCUACAUUAGUUAGUUGGUAGGGUAAUGGCCUACCAAGACGAUGAUGUAUAGCGGGGCCGAGAGGCUGAUCCGCCACACUGGGACUGAGAUACGGCCCAGACUCCUACGGGAGGCAGCAGUAGGGAAUUUUCCACAAUGAACGAAAGUUUGAUGGAGCGACACAGCGUGCAGGAUGAAGGUCUUCGGAUCGUAAACUGCUGUUAUAAGGGAAGAAAAACUUUAGUAGGUAAUGACUAGAACUUGACGGUACCUUAUCAGAAAGCGACGGCUAACUAUGUGCCAGCAGCCGCGGUAAU
rnacentral:rRNA from 1 species